UGAGUAACCUGCCCUUCACUCUGGGAUAACUCCGGGAAACCGGGGCUAAUACUGGAUAUGACCUACUCGGGCAUCCGAUGUGGGUGGAAAGAUUUAUUGUG
rnacentral:rRNA from 1 species